GUGCCAGCCGCCGCGGUAAUACGAAGGGUGCAAGCGUUACUCGGAAUUACUGGGCGUAAAGCGUGCGUAGGUGGUCGUUUAAGUCCGUUGUGAAAGCCCUGGGCUCAACCUGGGAACUGCAGUGGAUACUGGGCGACUAGAGUGUGGUAGAGGGUAGCGGAAUUCCUGGUGUAGCAGUGAAAUGCGUAGAGAUCAGGAGGAACAUCCAUGGCGAAGGCAGCUACCUGGACCAACACUGACACUGAGGCACGAAAGCGUGGGGAGCAAACAGGAUUAGAUACCCUGGUAGUCCACGCCCUAAACGAUGCGAACUGGAUGUUGGGUGCAAUUUGGCACGCAGUAUCGAAGCUAACGCGUUAAGUUCGCCGCCUGGGGAGUACGGUCGCAAGACUGAAACUUAAAUGAAUUGACGG
rnacentral:rRNA from 1 species